UGGGGAAUAUUGGACAAUGGGGGAAACCCUGAUCCAGCGACGCCGCGUGAGUGAAGAAGUAUUUCGGUAUGUAAAGCUCUAUCAGCAGGGAAGAAAAUGACGGUACCUGACUAAGAAGCCCCGGCUAACUACGUGCCAGCAGCCGCGGUAAUACGUAGGGGGCAAGCGUUAUCCGGAUUUACUGGGUGUAAAGGGAGCGCAGACGGCGAAGCAAGUCUGAAGUGAAAUGCAUGGGCUCAACCCAUGAAUUGCUUUGGAAACUGUUUGGCUUGAGUGUCGGAGGGGUAAGCGGAAUUCCUAGUGUAGCGGUGAAAUGCGUAGAUAUUAGGAGGAACACCGGAGGCGAAGGCGGCUUACUGGACGACAACUGACGUUGAGGCUCGAAGGCGUGGGGAGCAAACAGGAUUAGAUACCCUGGUAGUCCACGCAGUAAACGAUGAAUACUUGGUGUCGGGGAGGUAAACUUUUCGGUGCCGCAAGCAAACGCAUUAAGUAUUCCACCUGGGGAGUACGUUCGCAAGAAUG
rnacentral:rRNA from 1 species